UCUGCAUCCUGGCAGCACCCAGCGUGACGUUGCUACGGGGUCCAUGUGAGUCACCUCCGCGCUAGCUGCGGUGCGGGGGGAGCGGGAGCUGCGGGCUGUGAAGCCAAGGGGCCGGAAACCACCACGAGACGGAAGGAUGCACAAGCCCCCGCCUUCGUGGGACGCUGGAGCUCCGUCAUCUCACAGAGAGCUUCCUGCCUGCAGCCCGUUCCCAAGCUCCCAAGCAGUGCCGGGAAGAGAUGGGGGUGUUCAGCGAAACCCCUCCCUGCUUGCUCCUCCACAGUAAUGAAAUGCAAGAAGAGGUUUUUCCACUGAAGGAUAAGAAAUCUGCAGCAAUUGGAAAGAGGACGGAGAUAUCUCAGCCGGACUGUGACCCUGAGCCGUGCCGUGGGGGUGCUUACAGCUAGGUGAGCAUCCCUUUGCACCUCGGUGAGCGGGCAUCUGCGUCAGGCAACGUGGUUCAGGAUCCGCACGGCCCCGUCAUGCUCAAUUGACCGUGUCCAUCUGCGACAUCUCCUGAAUUCAGGCCCAGUAAAGAUCAAGAAUUUCACGACCUGGUGGAGAGCACAAACAAUACUGGACCAGGCAUUCGUAAUAUUUGGUGCCUGGUUUGUAUAGCUACUGCAGCUAAUAUCCCCAAAUAAAUACUUCCGUGACUAAUCCCUUGGAAAGAAAAACACAAAGAAAGAGGCUGUCACAUGAAACAAGAUGAUUUUGAUGUUUGUUUUGUAUUUAUAAACACAAAUUCUGUCUCUUGGGCUGUGUAAUAUACUUCAUCUAAAACCCUGUCAGUCUCUCGAUAGGUAAAUACGUGUUUGCUCUUUGUCCUCGUUCCAUCCCUCCCCAAAAGCCAACAAAGAAGUCCUUAUCCUCGU